CAGUGUACCCGCGGCAAGACGGAAAGACCCCGUGAACCUUUACUAUAGCUUGACACUGAACAUUGAGCCUUGAUGUGUAGGAUAGGUGGGAGGCUUUGAAGUGUGGACGCCAGUCUGCAUGGAGCCGACCUUGAAAUACCACCCUUUAAUGUUUGAUGUUCUAACGUGGACCCGUAAUCCGGGUUGCGGACAGUGUCUGGUGGGUAGUUUGACUGGGGCGGUCUCCUCCUAAAGAGUAACGGAGGAGCACGAAGG
rnacentral:rRNA from 3 species